UAGAAUCGGGAACGACUAGCACACAAGUGUGAGAGGAACCUUUACCUUUUCAAAGGAAAGGUGAAACUCCCCAAAUAUAUAAUAGUGUUUCCCAAAACAGUGCUUUUAAAAGAACUGCAGACCCAACACAUUUAGAGAAUCUUAAAAUAAGUACUUAUUACAGAUAAGGACUGGGACUUAAUCAGCUUUAUGGUGUGAACUUAUAGUUUGUCAACUGUGUUUGCUUUUGUUUCGUUUAGUGUAUUCCGUGGACCGAUUUUAUCGUGGUUUAUUCCAUGCAUUUUGAAAGCAAAUGGUAGGACAACAUGCUGUGUGAACAGGCAUCUCUAUCCAGUAUAUAAGAUUCGGCUUCCAGUACCCAGUAUGUAUCUGUCGCUUUAAAAAAAAAAGUGGGCGGUGCGGAGUUACACAAAGAAAGGUCCCUCUGGAAACCUCUUCUUUGUGGACUCUAUGUCCCGCCUUGCAUUGCUUUUCCCGGAUAUGAAAGGUGCACCCAUUCCAUGGCCCCUGUGCAUUCUGGGACUCGUAGUUCCUGCAAGUAUAUGUAGUUAAAGGAACCGUUCAUUUGAAAUCCGGAGACGAGGAACAAUGCAGGAACAGGAAAUCACCAGGUUGAAACAAAAAAGGAAAGAUUUUUUUUUUUAAAGCCACUCUUAAGGUUUCUAGUUUCUCUACUACUCUGGCAAUUAAUUUUACUAUUAGCCCUUAUUAUUUAGAAUACCAGCACAGCAUCAGAAAUAUAUCCAUUAUAACGCUCCAGAAUUUUGGAACAUCGUAAUCCCAUGGCUUGAUUUGCUAUCAAGUUACGAGGUUUGUUUAAAUGAAUGCAUGAAAUAAAUUAAUUGUAUUUGAAAUAAAGAGCAGAGAGAUUAAAAUAUUGUUACUUAGGAACAUGUAUGAUUUAAUUUAAGUAGUGUGUUUGGGCAUGGAAAAUGACAUACAUAUCACAGUCCAUUGGCUGCAUCUUGUGGCUGAAGUUCUUUUUUUAUUGUCCAGGGUGUUGAGUAUAAAAUAUUAGUUUUUGAUUUCAGACGUUGGCCAUAUUCUCACAAUGUACAAAGCCACAAACUCCUUGUAUGUUGUAUGAGGCCAGAGAACUGGAUUAAUGGUAAGAAUUGCAUGUAACUGCUGCUUUACUUUUUCGUAGGUUAAACCUAAGCCACUUUGGACUAUAGAGAGAAAGGGUCCUCAGUUUUUAUUUAUUCAUUCAUUUAUAUAGCCACUAUUUCACUUCUGUGACCCUGGGCGACUUAUGACGAAAACAUAAAUGGUAUCCAAGAUCCCAAAACAUAAAGCAACCGUAGAGACAAUUCAAAAUGUUAAAAACAAUGUAAAGCCAUAUAAUACAGUCACCAGGAAACUGUCAUUCAACAACCCCUGUCAUUUCAGGGGCUCACACUGCUCGGUAAUCCCCAGGUAAGAUGGCAAAGCCAGAUCUUCACGCCCUUCCGGAAAGCCAUCAAGUUUGGGGUCAGCCUGAUCUCAUGGUCAGCACCUGCCAGGAAGUUUUCAAUCCUGGGAAUUGGGGAGUCCCCACAUCUUAAAGCUGACAAGUCCACUCCACUGUUCAUUCAAGGAGGCACCCUCUACCCCGUGAAGACUUUUUCCAACAGAACACUCCAGCAAGCAUAUUGAACCAAAUAUAUUUAAGAAAAAACAGGGAAUCUGAGAAGUUGACGUUCUGUUGCUUUGAGAAAUUUCAAGCAGCUUUUCAAUAAUAACCCACAGGAAAUCCAGCAAAUGGCCAUCCCAAUAGAUAACAGGGUUCAAUAUGACGUCGGUCCACCCUUUGCAGCUG